AGCAGCCGCGGUAAUUCCAGCUCCAAUAGCGUAUAUUAAAGUUGUUGCAGUUAAAAAGCUCGUAGUUGAAUUUCGGGAUCAGUACGCUGGUCGUGCCUUCGGUAUGUACUGGUGUUACUGGUUCCUACCUUCUGACGAACCGUCAUGUCAUUAAUUUGGUGUGGCGGGGAAUCAGGACUGUUACUUUGAAAAAUUAGAGUGUUUAAAGCAGGCUCGCGCUUGAAUACAUUAGCAUGGAAUAAUGAAAUAGGACGUUCGAUCCUAUUUUGUUGGUUUCUAGGAUUGACGUAAUGAUUAAUAGGGAUAGUUGGGGGCAUUAGUAUUCAAUUGUCAGAGGUGAAAUUCUUGGAUUUAUUGAAGACUAACUACUGCGAAAGCAUUUGCCAAGGAUGUUUUCAUUAAUCAAGAACGAAAGUUAGGGAUCGAAGACGAUCAGAUACCGUCGUAGUC
rnacentral:rRNA from 1 species